rnacentral:rRNA from 1 species
GUGGGGAAUAUUGGACAAUGGGCGCAAGCCUGAUCCAGCAAUGCCGCGUGGGUGAAGAAGGCCUUCGGGUUGUAAAGCCCUUUUGUACGGGAAGAAAGCUUCUGGGUUAAUACCCCGGGAGGAUGACGGUACCGUAAGAAUAAGCACCGGCUAACUUCGUGCCAGCAGCCGCGGUAAUACGAAGGGUGCAAGCGUUAAUCGGAAUUACUGGGCGUAAAGCGUGCGUAGGUGGUUGUUUAAGUCUGUCGUGAAAGCCCUGGGCUCAACCUGGGAAUGGCGAUGGAUACUGGGCGACUAGAGUGCGGUAGAGGAUGGCGGAAUUCCCGGUGUAGCGGUGAAAUGCGUAGAGAUCGGGAGGAACAUCUGUGGCGAAGGCAGCCUCCUGGGAUAACACUGACGCUCAGGCACGAAAGCGUGGGGAGCAAACAGGAUUAGAUACCCUGGUAGUCC